UCUGGUGCCAGCAGCCGCGGUAAUUCCAGCUCCAAUAGCGUAUAUUAAAGUUGUUGCGGUUAAAAAGCUCGUAKUUGAAUCUGUGUGUCACGAUGCUGGUUCACCGCUCGCGGUGUUUAACUAGCAUGCCGUGAGACGUCCUACCGGUGGGCUUAGCUCUUCACGGGGCGGUCCAACUAAUAUCCCAUCGCGGYGCUCUUCAUUGAGUGUCGAGGUGGGCCGGUACGUUUACUUUGAACAAAUUAGAGUGCUUAAAGCAGGCUAUUUUCGCCUGAAUACUGUGUGCAUGGAAUAAUGGAAUAGGACCUCGGUUCUAUUUUGUUGGNNNNNNNNNNNNNNNNNNNNNNNNNNAGGGACAGAUGGGGGCAUUCGUAUUGCGACGUUAGAGGUGAAAUUCUUGGAUCGUCGCAAGACGGACAGAAGCGAAAGCAUUUGCCAAAAAUGUUUUCAUUAAUCAAGAACGAAAGUUAGAGGUUCGAAGGCGAUCAGAUACCGCCCUAGUUCUAACCAUAAACGAUGCCAGCUAGCGAUCCGCCGAAGUUCCUCCGAUGACUCGGCGGGCAGCUUCCGGGAAACCAAAGCUUUUGGGUUCCGGGGGAAGUAUGGUUGCAAAGCUGAAACUUAAAGGAAUUGACGGAAGGGCACCACCAGGAGUGGAGCCUGCGGCUUAAUUUGACUCAACACGGGAAACCUCACCAGGCCCGGACACCGGAAGGAUUGACAGAUUGAUAGCUCUUUCUUGAUUCGGUGGGUGG
rnacentral:rRNA from 1 species